GAUGAACGCUAGCGAUAGGCUUAACACAUGCAAGUCGAGGGGCAGCAUGGUCUUAGCUUGCUAAGACUGAUGGCGACCGGCGCACGGGUGCGUAACGCGUAUGCAACUUGCCUCACAGAGGGGGAUAACCCGUCGAAAGACGGACUAAUACCGCGUACACUCCAUCUUGGGCAUCCAAGGUAGAGGAAAUGAAAUUCGCUGUGAGAUAGGCAUGCGUCCCAUUAGCUAGUUGGUGAGGUAACGGCUCACCAAGGCGACGAUGGGUAGGGGAACUGAGAGGUUGAACCCCCACACUGGUACUGAGACACGGACCAGACUCCUACGGGAGGCAGCAGUGAGGAAUAUGGGUCAAUGGGCGAGAGCCUGAACCAGCCAAGUCGCGUGAAGGAUGACUGUCUUAUGGAUUGUAAACUUCUUUUAUACGGGAAUAACAAGAGUCACGUGUGACUCCCUGCAUGUACCGUAUGAAUAAGCAUCGGCUAACUCCGUG
rnacentral:rRNA from 1 species